UACGGAGGGUCCGAGCGUUAUCCGGAAUUAUUGGGUUUAAAGGGUCCGUAGGCGGGCUGUUAAGUCAGAGGUGAAAUGCUGCGGCUCAACCGUAUGCACUGCCUUUGAUACUGGCGGUCUUGAGUUAUAGUGAAGUGGCUAGAAUAUGUAGUGUAGCGGUGAAAUGCAUAGAUAUUACAUAGAAUACCGAUUGCGAAGGCAGGUCACUAACUAUACACUGACGCUGAUGGACGAAAGCGUGGGUAGCGAACAGG
rnacentral:rRNA from 1 species